rnacentral:lncRNA from 1 species
GUGCAUGUCUAUCAAACCAUCAUGUGGUACAUUUGAAAUAUAUAUAUAGUUUUUAAAGAGAAAAAGAAACCAAGAAGAACAAAAGGGAAGCAUGGCACAAGAUUCUUGCCCUCAAGAUAUUUACUGUAUAAUCAGAGUGAAAGGAAGAAUUUACUGAUGGUCAAAGACACAUGGACCAUGGAAUUAACUAAUGAUAUAUCCAGGAAUUCAGAGGACAAAGAGGAAUAACCAGUCUAAGCAACCCCUCAUAUACAAGUUUUUGGUCAAUAAGAUGGGAUUCAAAGAGAACUGCUAAUGGCCUGCAGGAGCCUGCUCACAGCGAAGGUGCCUUCUGAACCCUUUCAGUUCAUUCUCUUCUGGGUAAGUCACUGUCAGAUUUGAGUUUCACUCCUUUGUGUGCAGCUCUCUGAUCUAAGCAAUGUUGUUUAACAUAAAUUGU